rnacentral:rRNA from 1 species
UACAGAGGUCUCAAGCGUUGUUCGGAUUCAUUGGGCGUAAAGGGUGCGUAGGCGGUCGGGUAAGUCGGAUGUGAAAUCCCAGGGCUCAACCCUGGAACUGCAUUCGAUACUGCCUGGCUAGGGUACUGGAGAGGAGACUGGAAUUUACGGUGUAGCAGUGAAAUGCGUAGAUAUCGUAAGGAAGACCAGUGGCGAAGGCGAGUCUCUGGACAGUUACUGACGCUGAGGCACGAAGGUCAGGGGAGCAAAACGGG